rnacentral:misc_RNA from 1 species
GAUGAAGAACGUAGCGAAAUGCGAUAAGUAGUGUGAAUUGCAGAAUUCAGUGAAUCAUCGAAUCUUUGAACGCACAUUGCGCCCCAUGGUAUUCCGUGGGGCAUGCCUGUUCGAGCGUCAUUUACCCCCUCAAGCUCCGCUUGGUGUUGGGCGUCUGUCCCGCUUCGCGCGCGGACUCGCCCCAAAGGUAUUGGCAGCGGUCGUGCCAGCUUCUCGCGCAGCACAUUGCGCUUCUCGAGGCACCGGUGGGCCCGCGUCCAUCAAGCUCACCCCCCCAGUUUGAUCUCGGAUCAGGUAGGGAUACCCGCUGAACUUAAGCAUAUCAAUAAGCGGAGGA